UUUUAGGUCUUUUUAAAGACCAUCUUUAAAAAAAGAAGAAAAGUCU
rfam:Sarcophilus harrisii ctg7180002442715, whole genome shotgun sequence.